UGGGGAAUAUUGCACAAUGGGCGCAAGCCUGAUGCAGCCAUGCCGCGUGUAUGAAGAAGGCCUUCGGGUUGUAAAGUACUUUCAGCGGGGAGGAAGGGAGUAAAGUUAAUACCUUUGCUCAUUGACGUGACCCGCAGAAGAAGCACCGGCUAACUCCGUGCCAGCAGCCGCGGUAAUACGGAGGGUGCAAGCGUUAAUCGGAAUUACUGGGCGUAAAGCGCACGCAGGCGGUUGAUUGAGUCAGAUGUGAAAUCCCCGGGCUUAACCCGGGAAUUGCAUCUGAUACUGGUCAGCUAGAGUCUUGUAGAGGGGGGUAGAAUUCCAUGUGUAGCGGUGAAAUGCGUAGAGAUGUGGAGGAAUACCGGUGGCGAAGGCGGCCCCCUGGACAAAGACUGACGCUCAGGUGCGAAAGCGUGGGGAGCAAACAGG
rnacentral:rRNA from 1 species